GACGAGGGAUCCUAGCGUUGCUCGGAAUUAUUGGGCGUAAAGCGGGUGUAGGUGGCUUGGUAAGUCGGGUGUGAAAGCCCAGGGCUUAACCCUGGAAGUGCAUUCGAUACUACUGAGCUUGAGUGCGAGAGAGGUUAAUAGAAUACCUGGUGUAGUGGUGAAAUACGUAGAUAUCAGGUGGAACACCUGUGGCGAAAGCGGCGCACUGGACCACAACUGACGCUGAGGCGCGAAAGCUAGGGGAGCAAACAGG
rnacentral:rRNA from 1 species